AACGAACGCUGGCGGCAGGCCUAACACAUGCAAGUCGAACGGAUCCUUCGGGAUUAGUGGCAGACGGGUGAGUAACGCGUGGGAACCUACCCAGUUUUUCGGAAUAACUCAGGGAAACUUGAGCUAAUACCGGAUACGCCCUUUGGGGGAAAGAUUUAUCGGAAUUGGAUGGGCCCGCGUUGGAUUAGCUAGUUGGUAGGGUAAUGGCCUACCAAGGCGACGAUCCAUAGCUGGUCUGAGAGGAUGAUCAGCCACACUGGGACUGAGACACGGCCCAGACUCCUACGGGAGGCAGCAGUGGGGAAUAUUGGACAAUGGGCGCAAGCCUGAUCCAGCCAUGCCGCGUGAGUGAUGAAGGCCCUAGGGUUGUAAAGCUAUUUCACCGGUGAAGAUAAUGACGGUAGCCGGAGAAGAAGCCCCGGCUAACUUC
rnacentral:rRNA from 1 species